UAGGGAAUCUUCCACAAUGGGCGAAAGCCUGAUGGAGCAACGCCGCGUGUGUGAUGAAGGGUUUCGGCUCGUAAAACAUUGUUGUAAGAGAAGAAUGACAUUGAGAGUAACUGUUCAAUGUGUGACGGUAUCUUACCAGAAAGGAACGGCUAAAUACGCGCCAG
rnacentral:rRNA from 1 species